GGGGGUAUGCUCAGUGGUAAGAGUGUGUGCUUAGUCUGCCUGAGGUCCUGGGUUCAAUCCCCAGUACCUCCA
rnacentral:tRNA from 1 species